AGAGCGGCGGACGGGUGAGUAAUGCCUAGGAAUCUGCCUGGUAGUGGGGGAUAACGUUCGGAAACGGACGCUAAUACCGCAUACGUCCUACGGGAGAAAGCAGGGGACCUUCGGGCCUUGCGCUAUCAGAUGAGCCUAGGUCGGAUUAGCUAGUUGGUGAGGUAAUGGCUCACCAAGGCGACGAUCCGUAACUGGUCUGAGAGGAUGAUCAGUCACACUGGAACUGAGACACGGUCCAGACUCCUACGGGAGGCAACAGUGGGGAAUAUUGGACAAUGGGCGAAAGCCUGAUCCAGCCAUGCCGCGUGUGUGAAGGAGGUCUUCGGAUUGUAAAGCACUUUAAGUUGGGAGGAAGGGCAUUAACCUAAUACGUUAGUGUUUUGACGUUACCGACAGAAUAAGCACCGGCUAACUCUGUGCCAGCAGCCGCGGUAAUACAGAGGGUGCAAGCGUUAAUCGGAAUUACUGGGCGUAAAGCGCGCGUAGGUGGUUUGUUAAGUUGGAUGUGAAGUCCCCGGGCUCAACCUGGGAACUGCAUUCAAAACUGACUGACUAGAGUAUGGUAGAGGGUGGUGGAAUUUCCUGUGUAGCGGUGAAAUGCGUAGAUAUAGGAAGGAACACCAGUGGCGAAGGCGACCACCUGGACUAAUACUGACACUGAGGUGCGAAAGCGUGGGGAGCAAAC
rnacentral:rRNA from 1 species